UUGUUUGAGUGGCUUCAGGAAGGUGGCUGGGAAGAGUUUGAGUGGCUUCAGGAAGGUGACAGGGAAGAGCUUGUUUGAGUGGCUUCAGGAAGGUGGCUGGGAAGAGUUUGAGUGGCUUCAGGAAGGUGGCAGGGAAGAGUUUGUUUGGGUGGUUGGCAGGUAACAGGGAAGAGUCCAGGUAGCUGGCAGUGUAACAGGGAAGAGUUUGCAUGACUGGCAGGGUGACAAAGGAGAGUUUAAAUUUCUGGCAGGUUGACAGAGAAGAGUUUGAAUUUCUAGCAGGGUGUCAGGGAGGAGUUUAAGUGGCUGGCACGGUGACAGGGAAGAGUUUGAGUGGCUGCUAGAGUUUCAGGGAAGAGUUUGCGUGUCUGACAGAUUGAGAGAAGAGUUUGAAUUUCUGACAGGGUGACAGGGAAGUUUGAGUGGCUGGCAACGUGAGAGGGAAAAGUUUACAUUGCUGGCAGGGUGAGAGGGAGGAGUUUGAGUGGCUGACAGGGUGACAAGUAGGAAUAUGAGUGGGUGACAGGAAUGAGUUUGAGUGGCUAGCAGGGUGUAAGAAGGAAGAGUAUAUGUCAUUGUUCACUUCUAUGUGAACGUCCCAGGGAGGCAGUGGCCAUGUGGUUAGCCUGCGGGUGUGGUGAGCCUGAGAACCUAGCGUGGACUAAGUUCAAGUCUCCACUAAAACACUGAUUUUUCAAGUCAUCCCCGAGUGGCAAAAGAUUACCCACAUGCUGUCCGGAAUUUCAAUCAACCUUAAGUUAAGCAACUACAGUCAAGAGAAGAACCAGGGGACAGCAUGGGCCAAGGAAGAGUCAUACAUCACGGCAACCACUAAAAACAAAAUUAGCCUGCGCCACUAACAGGCUGGGGCUGUCCAUAAGGCCCCUCAAGAAAGCCUACCGGAGCUACAGGCAGCACAAAAAAAUGACACAAACACAAAAUAGAUGCUUGUAACAUGUAAAAUCAUGAACAAUUAGAAGCUGCAAGUAAUAUUAAUUGGAAGAAAAAACUAUAACAGAUGUUUAUAUAAGUGUAAGCAAUAAAGAUGCAAAAAUUGGUCAUAAGUGCAUAUGCACAAACAAUAUUAUUGGCUCAUCUUGUGUGAGUGCUUGCACAAACAAAUGCAGUAACAAGCAAUAAACAAUGUCUAAGUGAUAGAUUAUAAAAAAUAUUGUACUUCCUUGCAAUAUUAAACAUAAAAUGUGCAAUAGAAAUAAAAUUAUAAUAGCAAAAUAAUCAUGAAUAGCAUGGCUAAUAUUACCUUGAAAAAAUGUCAAUAUGAAAGUAUGAUACAGAUAAAUGUGUGUUGUACUUGGAAAAAUUAACAUUAUGAAAAAGUCACAGCCACAAAUUGCUCUUCACUCUAAAACUGUUAAGAUAAACACUCUGGAAUCAGGAAAUCCUAAUUUCAGCAUCAUCUGCCACAACCAUGUGAGGGUCAAAACUACAUAAUAUUUAACAGCAUUACAUGUUGUUAUUACCCCAUUCCUGCAAAAAAAAAGCCAAUGAAAGGGAGGGUCAAGCUAUUACUUUCUGAUUAUGCUGUACAGGUCUGGGUAUGCUUAAAUUGGGAUUAUAAGGGUGAUUAAAGAAUCCCCCUAAGCUAGGUACCAAAGAUCAUAUAGCUCUGCUAGGGUUACAAGAGAGUGCUGCCUCUCUUACUGAGAGGCUGCCAUUAGCUGAAAUAGAACUUGCAACCUCUCCGUUACCUGCCAAGCAAGAAACCCACUGAGCUACCUGGCCCAUUACUUUAUGUGAUGAUGCCUUGUUUGUCUUUACAUUUGGGUAUCAGGUAUUUCUAAAGAUGGUGACAGACACAUCCAAACUAGAAACAUAACAGUUUUAUUACUUAUCAGUAUGAUAAGGGGUGCAUAGGCUGAUGUACAUGUACAGCAAGUACUAUAUACAUAUUUUCAUAAAUACAUUAUCUUCAAGGUUUCAGGAAGCUUGUUAUCUCAUGAUAAAUAUCUGAGACUUCUUCCCCCAAUUCCUGUACGUACAUGCUAAAAGGAAAGACAGAAUAAUCCUAGAGACGAAAAAUAAACUGGUAUGAGUGUACGAAAAAAUGAAUCAAGUGUUGCACUACAUUCACACAUUCUGAUGCCCAGAUAUCAAACUAUAAAAAUUCUCUAACACCCCACUCAUGGGCCAAGGCUUACAGGGACUUCCCUAUUGAAACUGGGCACAGUCCUGUUUCAGAAAUGCUGCUACACAAACUAUUUUUACUCUUACUGAUGGAUUACCAGUUUUCUUGCAAUAUCCACUUACAAUGAGAAUGAAUGAUAUUAGAAAUGAAUUGCUACAAAUUCAAGGAGUCACAGACUGAUUCAAAAGUAGUAUUGAUUAUGUCCCUCAUUCUGGUUGAGACAAUACAUGUAGUUGAUCAAUGUAUUAUGAUUGCCCUCUUGAGCCACUUGUCAGCAGGAUUCUUUCAUAUUAAAUAUAGUGGUAAAUGCUACAAUGUUUUUUGCUGCUCUGAGUUAGCAAAUAAAUUCCUAAUAACAAUCAUCGUCCACUUCCUAAAACUCUCAGAUACGAGCCCUAAAGGUAAACAGAAAUAACGUUCAGAAACUAUG